rnacentral:rRNA from 1 species
CUUACACAUGCAGUCGAGCGGAGAUGAGGUGCUUGCACCUUAUCUUAGCGGCGGACGGGUGAGUAAUGCUUAGGAAUCUGCCUAUUAGCGGGGGACAACAUUCCGAAAGGAAUGCUAAUACCGCAUACGUCCUACGGGAGAAAGCAGGGGAUCUUCGGACCUUGCGCUAAUAGAUGAGCCUAAGUCGGAUUAGCUAGUUGGUGGGGUAAAGGCCUACCAAGGCGACGAUCUGUAGCGGGUCUGAGAGGAUGAUCCGCCACACUGGGACUGAGACACGGCCCAGACUCCUACGGGAGGCAGCAGUGGGGAAUAUUGGACAAUGGGGGGAACCCUGAUCCAGCCAUGCCGCGUGUGUGAAGAAGGCCUUAUGG